rnacentral:rRNA from 1 species
CAGAGGGUGCGAGCGUUGUUCGGAAUUACUGGGCGUAAAGCGCGCGCAGGCGGCCUUUUAAGUCUGACGGUGAAAUACCGGGGCUCAACCCCGUGCCCGCCGCGGAUACUGGGAGGCUGGAGACGAGUAGAGGCAAGCGGAAUUCCGGGUGUAGCGGUGGAAUGCGUAGAGAUCCGGAAGAACACCGGAGGCGAAGGCGGCUUGCUGGGCUCGGUCUGACGCUGAGGCGCGAAAGCGUGGGGAGCGAACAGGAUUAGAUACCCUGGUAGUCCACGCCGUAAACGAUGGGCACUAGACGCUGGUGGGAUCGACCCCUUCGGUGUCGCAGCUAACGCGAUAAGUGCCCCGCCUGGGGAGUACGGCCGCAAGGCUG